rnacentral:rRNA from 1 species
GCGCGCGAUACAGGGUGACAGCCCCGUACACAAAAAUGCACAUGCUGUGAGCUCGAUGAGUAGGGCGGGACACGUGGUAUCCUGUCUGAAUAUGGGGGGACCAUCCUCCAAGGCUAAAUACUCCUGACUGACCGAUAGUGAACCAGUACCGUGAGGGAAAGGCGAAAAGAACCCCGGCGAGGGGAGUGAAAAAGAACCUGAAACCGUGUACGUACAAGCAGUGGGAGCACGCUUAGGCGUGUGACUGCGUACCUUUUGUAUAAUGGGUCAGCGACUUAUAUUCUGUAGCAAGGUUAACCGAAUAGGGGAGCCGAAGGGAAACCGAGUCUUAACUGGGCGUUAAGUUGCAGGGUAUAGACCCGAAACCCGGUGAUCUAGCCAUGGGCAGGUUGAAGGUUGGGUAACACUAACUGGAGGACCGAACCGACUAAUGUUGAAAAAUUAGCGGAUGACUUGUGGCUGGGGGUGAAAGGCCAAUCAAACCGGGAGAUAGCUGGUUCUCCCCGAAAGCUAUUUAGGUAGCGCCUCGUGAAUUCAUCUCCGGGGGUAGAGCACUGUUUCGGCAAGGGGGUCAUCCCGACUUACCAACCCGAUGCAAACUGCGAAUACCGGAGAAUGUUAUCACGGGAGACACACGGCGGGUGCUAACGUCCGUCGUGAAGAGGGAAACAACCCAGACCGCCAGCUAAGGUCCCAAAGUCAUGGUUAAGUGGGAAACGAUGUGGGAAGGCCCAGACAGCCAGGAUGUUGGCUUAGAAGCAGCCAUCAUUUAAAGAAAGCGUA